AGAGUUUGAUCCUGGCUCAGGAUGAACGUUGGCGGCGUGCUUAACACAUGCAAGUCGAACGAAGCACUUUAUUUGAUUUCCUUCGGGACUGAUUAUUUUGUGACUGAGUGGCGGACGGGUGAGUAACGCGUGGGUAACCUGCCUUGUACAGGGGGAUAACAGUUGGAAACGGCUGCUAAUACCGCAUAAGCGCACAGCAUCGCAUGAUGCAGUGUGAAAAACUCCGGUGGUAUAAGAUGGACCCGCGUUGGAUUAGCAAGUUGGUGAGGUAACGGCCCACCAAGGCGACGAUCCAUAGCCGACCUGAGAGGGUGACCGGCCACAUUGGGACUGAGACACGGCCCAAACUCCUACGGGAGGCAGCAGUGGGGAAUAUUGCACAAUGGGCGAAAGCCUGAUGCAGCGACGCCGCGUGAGCGAAGAAGUAUUUCGGUAUGUAAAGCUCUAUCAGCAGGGAAGAUAAUGACGGUACCUGACUAAGAAGCACCGGCUAAAUACGUGCCAGCAGCCGCGGUAAUACGUAUGGUGCAAGCGUUAUCCGGAUUUACUGGGUGUAAAGGGAGCGCAGGCGGUGCGGCAAGUCUGAUGUGAAAGCCCGGGGCUCAACCCCGGUACUGCAUUGGAAGCUGUCGUACUAGAGUGUCGGAGGGGUAAGCGGAAUUCCUAGUGUAGCGGUGAAAUGCGUAGAUAUUAGGAGGAACACCAGUGGCGAAGGCGGCUUACUGGACGAUAACUGACGCUGAGGCUCGAAAGCGUGGGGAGCAAACAGAAAGGGAUACCCUGGUAGUCCACGCCGUAAAC
rnacentral:rRNA from 1 species